rnacentral:rRNA from 1 species
UACGAAGGGGGCUAGCGUUGUUCGGAAUUACUGGGCGUAAAGAGCGCGUAGGCGGCUUACCAAGUUGGGGGUGAAAUCCCGGAGCUCAACUCCGGAACUGCCUUCAAAACUGGUAGGCUCGAGUCCGGAAGAGGGGCGUGGAAUUCCGAGUGUAGAGGUGAAAUUCGUAGAUAUUGGGAAGAACACCGGUGGCGAAGGCGGCGCCCUGGUCCGGUACUGACGCUGAGGCGCGAAAGCGUGGGGAGCACACAGG